rnacentral:rRNA from 1 species
GAAUGACUCUCGGCAACGGAUAUCUCGGCUCUCGCAUCGAUGAAGAACGUAGCGAAAUGCGAUACUUGGUGUGAAUUGCAGAAUCCCGUGAACCAUCGAGUCUUUGAACGCAAGUUGCGCCCGAAGCCGUUAGGCUGAGGGCACGUYUGCCUGGGCGUCGUAU